UCCGGGAAUGGAAAGCCCGGUACAAGCGAGGUACCAGUAUGGUAGGAAAAACCGCCAUGCAAUGGGAAGACGUGAUGUGGAGUGAAAUAUAGUAACGAAGCCCGUGAGCCAUGCGUCAAGAAAAGCCGCUAUUGUUUAUAUUGUACCCGUACCGUAAACCGACACAGGUGGAUGAGGAGAGAAUCCUAAGGCCGGCGGAAGAAGUAUUGCCAAGGAACUCGGCAAAAUGGCCCCGUAACUUAGGGAGAAGGGGUGCCUGCGAGAGCAGGCCGCAGAGAAUAGGCUCAAGCAACUGUUUAGCAAAAACACAGGUCUAUGCGAAACCGAAAGGUGAGGUAUAUGGGCUGACGCCUGCCCGGUGCUGGAAGGUUAAGAGGAGAGGUUAGACGCAAGUCGAAGCUUUGAAUUUAAGCCCCAGUAAACGGCGGCCGUAACAAUAACGGUCCUAAGGUAGCGAAAUUCCUUGUCGGGUAAGUUCCGACCCGCACGAAAGGCGUAAUGAUUUGAGCGCUGUCUCGGCAAUACAUCCGGUGAAAUUGAAGUGCCAGUGAAGAUGCUGGCUACCCGCGCCAGGACGGAAAGACCCCAUGGAGCUUUACUCCAGUUUGGCACUGGGGUCCGGUGUUGCAUGUACAGGAUAGGUGGGAGGCUGAGAGAUAGUGACGUCAGUUGCUAUGGAGCCGCUGUUGGGAUACCACCCUUGUGAUAUUGGGCUUCUAACCAGCCGCCGUGAACCGGCGGUGGGACAAUGCCAGGCGGGGAGUUUGACUGGGGCGGUCGCCUCCGAAAGGGUAUCGGAGGCGCCCAAAGGUUCCCUCAGAAUGGACGGAAACCAUUCGAAGAGUGCAAAGGCAGAAGGGAGCUUGACUGCGACACCGACGGGUGGAGCAGGUACGAAAGUAGGGCUUAGUGAUCCGGUGGUAUUAAGUGGGAAUGCCAUCGCUCAACGGAUAAAAGCUACCCUGGGAUAACAGGCUUAUCACUCCCAAGAGUUCACAUCGACGGAGUGGUUUGGCACCUCGAUGUCGGCUCAUCGCAUCCUGGGGCUGUAGUAGGUCCCAAGGGUUGGGCUGUUCGCCCAUUAAAGCGGUACGCGAGCUGGGUUCAGAACGUCGUGAGACAGUUCGGUCCCUAUCCGGCGUGGGCGUAGGAUAUCUGAGAGGAGCUGUCCUUAGUACGAGAGGACCGGGAUGGACGGACCGCUGGUGGACCGGUUGGCUUGCCAAAGCCAUGGCCGGGUAGCCAAGUCCGGAAGGGAUAAACGCUGAAGGCAUCUAAGCGUGAAGCCCCCCUCAAGAUGAGAUAUCCCAUUCUUUAAGAAGUAAACCCCCUUGAAGACGACGAGGUAGAUAGGGCAGAGGUGGAAGUGUGGUAACACAUGGAGCUGACUGUUACUAAUCGGGUGAGGGCUUGACC
rnacentral:rRNA from 1 species